rnacentral:rRNA from 1 species
AACGAACGCUGGCGGCAUGCCUAACACAUGCAAGUCGAACGAUGCCUUCGGGCAUAGUGGCGCACGGGUGCGUAACGCGUGGGAAUCUGCCUUUCGGUCCGGAAUAACUCAGGGAAACUUGAGCUAAUACCGGAUAACGUCGCAAGACCAAAGAUUUAUCACCGAAAGAUGAGCCCGCGUAGGAUUAGCUAGUUGGUGAGGUAAAGGCUCACCAAGGCGACGAUCCUUAGCUGGUCUGAGAGGAUGAUCAGCCACACUGGGACUGAGACACGGCCCAGACUCCUACGGGAGGCAGCAGUGGGGAAUAUUGGACAAUGGGCGAAAGCCUGAUCCAGCAAUGCCGCGUGGGUGAUGAAGGCCUUAGGGUUGUAAAGCUCUUUUACCCGGGAAGAUAAUGACGGUACCGGGAGAAUAAGCCCCGGCUAACUCCGUG